CGUUAUUUCUCCUUUUUGUAGAUUGUAUUGUUUUUUUUUGACAUGAGAGAUCACACCUUGUUUGAUGGUUGCCCAGUGAUGCCCGAAGAAUCCUGCAUUCAUUCCAUCCAAGCCUGGCGAUUUGUCAGGGUUAAUGGCGUGAGCAGCAUCCUCUAUCUCCUUUUCUGUAACUUCUUGGGUUAGCAUAUUGUUGAUCUCAGCUGUAGUAGUGGUUGGGAUUCCUUUUAGUAUGUGCUGAAUAAUCUCGGUUCCUUCACUUCUAUAUAGAUCCUGAAAGUAUCGGUAAAUUUGAGAUUGAAUAUCUUUAAUCUCUGUAUGUAUUUUACCUCCUUCAUCCGAGAUGUGAAUGAUCCUGUUAUGACUUCUUCUCUGCUUGGCCUUUGAGUGAAAGAAUCUGGUAUUUCGAUCUCCUGCUUGAGGCCACUGAAUUCUACUUUUUGUUCUCCAAAAUUCUUCUGUAAGUCGAUACUGCAAACUCAACUCAGUCUUCAGCAUAUUAAUAUAAGCAUAGUCAAUAUCUAAAGACUUGUAAGCUUGUUCAAUUUGUUCUUUCAACUGAUUGAUUUUCUUUUCCGUGUUUCUUGGGUUCUGACUUCUCCAUCUAGAAAGGGCUUUUCUACAAUUUUCUAAGACUCUGUAAAAAAGAUGCGGAGGUAAAUUAGCACAGUCGUUUUGCCACACUUCCUGUAUUAUCCUCCUAACCUCAGGUUCAAACCUCCACCUAUUAUCAUAUCUAAACUGCUUCUUUCUGUUACACUUGAUACUUUCAGUAUCUAUAAGCAGUGGCUUAUGAUCUGAGCCUAUCCAAGGGAGCAAUUUAACAUGUGCAGUAGGAUAUAGGUCUAACCACUCGCAAUUUGCCAUAGCCCUAUCAAUUCUUGUUCUAAUAUUGUAUUUGGGCCUAUUCCCAUUCCAAGUAUAAAAGCCCCCUAUGGAUUUUAAGUCAUGAACCCCUAUUACCGAGAUCAUUGUUCUAAAAAGAGAAAAAGAUACCUCUGACCUUUGGACACCCCCAUCCUUUUCCUUGUUAUCCUUGAUGUCAUUAAACUCUCCAAGCAUCAGUCUUGGACGGUUCUGAUACAAUCCUGCAGCGCAUUACAAAUUAAUCCUUCCCGCAAUUCAUUUCUGUACUUUAAGACAUGGUGUCCUAUUUUUUUUUUUUUGAUCAAAUGUGUCCGUAUAUAUAUGUCAAGCAGAAAACAUUACAAUCUUCUUCUAUAUACAUAUCAGUGGCAUUCAAAGUAGGAUUACCCAAAAACCUAACCUUGACCCCGUCAUUCCACAUUAUAACUAACCCACCACUAGUUCCUUUAGCGGAAACUACAAAAGAGUGCUCUUCAACCACCUUAUGUACAAAACUAUCUAUAUUUUUCGUUUCAACCAGAACCAUCAUAUUAGGCUUAUACUUCUUUCUGAUAUCUUUAAGAUGAGAAAUUGUCAAAGGGCUUCCCAACCCCUCUGACAAUUCCAGUGCAAAAUCUUCAUAUUGAUCGAGCUUUUUGAACUAAAUUUUAAUGAGAAAGUAAUCUGAUGGAAGCAAGUUUCUUUUUAAUCUGCUACUGAGCUUCAGAUUCGAUGAAAAUACAGAAAGUUACUUGAUCCUUAUACAAGAUGAAGCUAAAUCCGACUUUAAUUGCUCGACCUUAGAGAGAAUCGCACAAACUGCGAAGAACGUAAUCGCUAACGCUAAGGAGAGUCGCACAAACCAAAGUGAUAGUCGCACACAGCGAAGAUUAAAUCACCUAACUGUGAAUUGAAGAUUUCACAAAGUGAAUUAAAGAUCAAUCGAACGGGAUGAGAUGCUCGCUCAAGCAGGGAACUUUCGCGAACAUCAGCAGACGAUAACUUGCAAUUUAAAAAUAAAAUUUUACCAUUUUUUCC
rnacentral:lncRNA from 1 species